CUGAACUAAAAACAUUUUCAAUACAUUUUUAUGUUACUUUAAAGAUAUCAAAUACAAUUAAUCUGUGUUUUUCAUUUUACUCAUUUUCCCAACAAAAUCAGGAGGCCCAGGAAGCCCUUAAUCUGGCUGGUGAACUUUAUCUUUAUGUACCAGACCUUACAAAUGAUUUGGUAAUGGCAUGUUUGCAUGGAUCAAGUCCCCUUAUGACUGCUCAUCAGCAU